CGCCCGGUAGCUCAGUGGUUAGAGCGCUGGCUUCGCAAGCCAGAGGACCGCGGUUCGAUUCCCCGGCCGGGUGG
rnacentral:tRNA from 1 species